AGCUUGAUUUGGGGUUUUAAUUUGUAUAAAUGGGUCGGGUUCGGAUUAAAAAGAGAAAAAAUUGGGUUAUUUAAUUGAAAUUGGGUAAUUUUAGUUGAUUUGGGUUUUCCAUCCAAUUGAGGGGUAAAUUUGGUGAAAUUAGUAACGGGAGGGGUAAAAAUUAACUUCAUUUUAACGGCGAGGGUAAAGUCAACUAAUAAAACAAAGUUGAG
rnacentral:lncRNA from 1 species